rnacentral:rRNA from 1 species
AUUGAACGCUGGCGGCAGGCCUAACACAUGCAAGUCGAGCGGAGCGGCGGACGGGUGAUUAAUGCCUAGGAAUCUGCCUGGUAGCGGGGGUUAACGUCCGGAAACGGGCGUUAAUACCGCAUACUAUCAGAUGAGACUAGGCCGGAUUAGCUAGUUGGUUGGGUAAAGGCCUACCAAGGCGAGGAUCCGUAACUGGUCUGAGAGGAUGAUCAGUCACACUGUAACUGAGACACGGUCCAGACUCCUACGGGAGGCAGCAGUGGGGAAUAUUGCACAAUGGGCGAAAGCCUGAUCCAGCCAUGCCGCGUGUGUGAAGAAGGUCUUCGGAUUGUAAAGCACUUUAAGUUGGGAAGCGUUACCAAAAGAAUAAGCACCGGCUAACUUCGUGCCAGCCGCCGCGGUAAUAC